rnacentral:rRNA from 1 species
GACGAACGCUGGCGGCGUGCUUAACACAUGCAAGUCGAACGAAGUGGCGAACGGGUGCGUAAUACGUGGGUACCCUGCCCUCCUUUUUGGGCUAAUCCUUGGAAACGUGGUCUAAUACCGAAUAGUGGGGGAUGGGCGCGGCGCCUAUCAGCUUGUUGGUGGGGUUAUGGCCUACCAAGGCGGUGACGGGUAGCCGGCCUGGGAGGGUGGACGGCAAAAUGGGGACUGGGACACGGCCCAGACUCCUACGGGAGGCAGCAGUGGGGAAUAUGGCACAAUGGGCGGAAGCCUGAUGCAGCGACGCCGCGUGGGGGAUGACGGCCUUCGGGUGGUAAACGCCUUUCACCAUCGACGCGGUAGAUGGAGAAGAAGCACCGGCUAACUACGUGCCAGCAGCCGCGGUAAUAC